rnacentral:rRNA from 1 species
UACAGAGGUCUCAAGCGUUGUUCGGAUUCAUUGGGCGUAAAGGGUGCGUAGGUGGCGCCAUAAGUCAGGUGUGAAAUCUCGGGGCUCAACCUCGAAACUGCACUUGAUACUGUGGUGCUCGAGUACUGGAGAGGAGAUUGGAAUUUACGGUGUAGCAGUGAAAUGCGUAGAUAUCGUAAGGAAGACCAGUGGCGAAGGCGAAUCUCUGGACAGUUACUGACACUGAGGCACGAAGGCCAGGGGAGCAAACGGG